rnacentral:rRNA from 1 species
GACGAACGCUGGCGGCGCGCUUAACACAUGCAAGUCGAGCGAGAACCGGGGCUUCGGCCCCGGGGACAGCGGCGAACGGGUGAGUAACACGUGGGUAACCUGCCCUCGGCACCGGGAUAGCCCGAGGAAACUCGGAUUAAUACCGGAUAGCCCCUCCGGCCUUCGGGCCGGCCGGGAAAGGUAGCUUCGGCCUCCGGCCGAGGAUGGGCCCGCGGCGAAUUAGCUUGUUGGUGGGGUAACGGCCCACCAAGGCGACGAUCCGUAGCUGGUCUGAGAGGACGAUCAGCCUCACUGGGACUGAGACACGGCCCAGACUCCUACGGGAGGCAGCAGUGGGGAAUAUUGGGCAAUGGGCGAAAGCCUGACCCAGCGACGCCGUGUGGGCGAUGAAGGCCUUCGGGUUGUAAAGCCCUGUUGGGUGGAAAGAAGGGCUUUUGGACGAAUAAUCCAGAAGCUUUGACGGUACCACCAGAGGAAGCACCGGCUAACUCCGUGCCAGCAGCCGCAGUAAGAC